rnacentral:ncRNA from 1 species
CUCCUCAUUCUAAAUGGUGAAUGAGAAGGGCCGAACGGGGUCACUAUC